rnacentral:rRNA from 1 species
AUUGAACGCUGGCGGCAUGCCUUACACAUGCAAGUCGAACGGUAGCGGGCCUUCGGGUGCCGACGAGUGGCGAACGGGUGAGUAAUGUAUCGGAACGUACCUUUCAGUGGGGGAUAACGUAGCGAAAGUUACGCUAAUACCGCAUAUUCUGUGCGCAGGAAAGCAGGGGACCUUCGGGCCUUGCGCUGAUUGAGCGGCCGAUAUCAGAUUAGCUAGUUGGUGAGGUAAAGGCUCACCAAGGCAACGAUCUGUAGCGGGUCUGAGAGGAUGAUCCGCCCAACUGGAACUGAGACACGGUCCAGACUCCUACGGGAGGCAGCAGUGGGGAAUUUUGGACAAUGGGGGCAACCCUGAUCCAGCCAUGCCGCGUGAGUGAAGAAGGCCUUCGGGUUGUAAAGCUCUUUCGGCCGGGAAGAAAUCGUAUCAGCUAAUACCUGGUGCGGAUGACGGUACCGGCAUAAGAAGCACCGGCUAACUACGUGCCAGCAGCCGCCGUAAAAC